CGUAGCUGCAAUAUAAAGCCACCUCGUUUGAGCUAUCCCUCGGAGGAAAGGUUGCUAUAGCCGAGGUUGACUUUCUUUAUUAUACGUGUUUGUUCUGCUGUAGCAUGCAACACAGAAUGAAGUUUGUCCUUGUGCUGUGCAUGGCAAUCUUCUUGACCAUCUUAAGCUCUGUUGCAGGGGAAAGGCAGUUUCAUCAAAACCAAGCAGUUAUAACAGCAUUCGAAAACCUGGUGGAUCGUGCAAGCUUGGCACUUGCGCAGGAGCGAAUUUGGCUGCCACCGUAGCAACCCUCCUCGCUAAAGGAAAGGACACAGCUCCUGCUCGGAAAAUUGGCGCUUACGGCUACGGCCGAAGGAAGAGAAGGUCCCUUCAAGAAAAGAAAAAUCUCCUGUCACUGGUCGCUGGAAGAAGGGUGGCAGGUUGACGUAGACCAGUCGGGUUAUAUCUGCCCGAUCAGCGGGCAACUUUGCUCUGGAAGUCACACCAAGCUCUACAUGUCCGCGCUUGGAAAAUAAAAAUGAAAGUAUU